rnacentral:miRNA from 1 species
AGGCUGCACGGGGCUAUGGCUUCUUUAGCCCCACGCAGCCUCUCCCUGCAAGGAGAGGCUGCACGGGGCUAAAGGGGAAGGCAAAACAGCGAGCGGGAUCCAUCCCGCUUGCUGCCUUGCCUUCUUCCAUAGCUGCGCGCAACCCCUCCGCAAGGAGAGGCUGCACGGGGCUAUGGCUUUAGCCCCACGCAGCC